AUGCCCAAAGGAAAAAACGGUUCUGGAAAAGGGGGAAAUGGGGACAUGUCUCUGGGAGCAACAGUGCUGAUGAGAAGGCUCAGGGCCCCAAAGUGGGUGGCGACACAGCAAACAGACACAUUCUACGCGAAAAACAUGGCAAAACGACGGAAGCCAUGGAAAAGUUAAAAUCUAGUAUGAGACUCAAUGAAGUGUCUCCACAAUAUAGUGAAGAUAAAAGCCAGGCCAGGGGACAACUUGGGUAAGGAGGAUAAUGACCCAGACCCCCGCUUUUCAAGAAGCAGCAUUUGCCUUGCCUGUAAGUGGGAUGGGUAAGCCUGUGUUUACAGAUCCUUCCAUAAAGACAAAAUCUGGAUAUCAUAUUAUUAUGGUUGAAGGAAGAAAAU
rnacentral:lncRNA from 1 species